UACGAAGGGUGCAAGCGUUACUCGGAAUUACUGGGCGUAAAGGGUGCGUAGGUGGUCGUUUAAGUCCGUUGUGAAAUCCCUGGGCUCAACCUGGGAAUGGCAGUGGAUACUGGACGGCUAGAAUGCGGUAGAGGGUAGUGGAAUUCCCGGUGUAGCAGUGAAAUGCGUAGAGAUCGGGAGGAACACCAGUGGCGAAGGCGACUCUUUGGCCUGUAACUGACGCUGAGGCGCGAAAGCGUGGGGAGCAAACAGG
rnacentral:rRNA from 1 species